ensembl:lncRNA
GUUCAGUAUGCAAACACUCAGAGGUGGCUGACCGCAACCAGAACAUCUACCCAACCCGGAACAAGGUCUGCAAGCCCUGUAGCUGCCCAGCCUCAAGGCAGAAGAAAGAGCCUGGAGACAGUGAGAGAGACAUCAAUGGCUUAUUGGACAGAGGAAUCUUGAGUCUGAAGCAAAAGUUCCUGGAGCGUCAACCCAUUGUGUGCAGCAGACGUGACAGCAGUCUUCACUACUCAGGGGAGAAAGAGACUGCCAUUUAUCGAAGGAAUUGACAUCAGGUUACCUCAUCAGUUACCGGGGAAACCAGCAGCUGGAGCAGGUCCUGCACAACUCCUCAGGUUAAUGACCAUCAUGAGAGCAGAUGUUUCCCUUUAAAACACUAGCAGGUGGAGCCAUUCUGGACUAAGGAUUAGAACCAUCACUAGCUAGGGAGGGGACAAGCACAUUCAUGAGAGAGGGUGUAGGUGAAGUAGGGACUGGUCCAGUGGACGAUGUACACAGAGCAAGAGAACGGCCAUCUUGAGUGACCUGAACAUACAGACACCCAAAGCACAAGCAGUAAAAUCAAAAGAAAACAAGUGGGACUUCAUCAAAUUAAAAAGCUUCUGCACAGCAAAAGAAAUCUACCAACAAAGUGACAAGAUAUCCUAUGAAAUGGAAAAAAAAUAUUUGGAAACCAUGUAUCUGAUAAGUGGUUAACAUGUAUCUGCUAAGUGGUUAAUAUCCAAAACAUUUAAAAAACUCAUACAGCUC